rnacentral:rRNA from 1 species
UUAAUACACCGUACAUUAUGAAAUGGCAUCAUUUUAUAAUUAAAGCUCCGGCGCUUAAAGAUGGGCGUGCGUCUGAUUAGGUAGUUGGCGGGGUAACGGCCCACCAAGCCUACGAUCAGUAACUGGUGUGAGAGCACGACCAGUCACACGGGCACUGAGACAGGUCCCGACUCAUACGGGAGGCAGCAGUAAGGAAUAUUGGUCAAUGGACGCAAGUCUGAACCAGCCAUGCCGCGUGGAGGAUGAAGGUCCUCUGGAUUGUAAACUUCUUUUAUUUGGGAAGAAACCCACGAUUUCUAUUGUGGUUGACGGUACCAGAUGAAUAAGCACCGGCUAACUCCGUGCCAGACAGCCGCGGUAAUACGGAGGGUGCAAGCGUUAUCCGGAUUCACUGGGUUUUAAAGGGUGCGUAGGCGGGCAGGUAAGUCAGUGGUUGAAAAUCUCCGGGCUUAACCCGGAAACUGCCGUUGAUACUAUCUGUCUUGAAAUAUCCGUGGAGGGUGACGCGGA